GCCAAACAAACAUCAAACCAAUUAUAACUGAUUAUAGUUGCUAAACAAAUCAAAUCAAACCAUUAUACAUCUCACCCCAUCGCCCACCUUACCGAGCUAGUCCAAUUAAGAAAUCGAAUCACCAAAACUAGUUUGGGACCAAUCCAUUAGCAGUAUUACACUGACAGCAUGCAAGCAUGUCUACAGCUCUCGUGAGCAUAGGAUUUAAUGGUAGUACAUGACUCCUUUGUUGGAGUUCUUUUUGGUUAAAGGAAAAGCAAUCCACC
rnacentral:lncRNA from 1 species